GCGGGCAUAGCUUAGGGGUAAAGCUCUGGCCUUCCAAGCCAGCUACACGGGUUCGAAUCCCGUUGCCCGCU
rnacentral:tRNA from 1 species